rnacentral:misc_RNA from 1 species
UCGCGAACGACAAAGUCAGAUCGUGCGCGGAAAAUAAAAAUAAAGGUUUUAUUGCGUAAAGUGAUGUUAUUUGUAGAACUUUAAGUGGAACAGUUAAUAAAACAUUGAACUAAAGUGUAUCAGAGUCUAUAAAAGUGUAUUAAGUGUGAAAACUAGAAGAAUAUGCGGCAUGCACAAAAAUGGCGCCAUUUCAAGAUACUCUCCAUGUUAAGUGCUUUGGCAUAAUAUUCAAAAUGGAACCUUCAUGAUGAUGCUUAAUUCUUCUAAAAUAUUAUAUUUUGCAUGCACCUGUACCUAGUGCUGAUCUCCUGUCUGGUGAGCUCAACGCACUGCUGGCAGUUCGAUGGCGGAGGUCAGCGAUGGUCGAGGAGCACGGCCAGGGUCCUGGCACGGGGACCACCGCCGCCAAUGCCGCCAGGAGGCGGCGGAGGCCGAGGAUCGGCGGCCUUGUUGGGCUCCCAGCAGCAGGACAUACUCUAUGCCUGUCCACUCAACUCGAUGUGCCAGUGCGCCGGGCUGCCCAACGAGACCAGCACCCUGAUUGAGAUUAAUUGCAACGAGGUGGCACUGUACAAGUUUCCAGAGUUCAUGCACAGCAGCGUGCGGUAUAUCGAAAUGUCCAACACACAUCUGCAGAGUGUCGACGACGAGACAUUCCAGGGACUGCGCCUCAAGACACUGAAGCUAAUCGACAACGAGCUGCAGGACAUAUCCGAGCGGAGUUUCAGCACGAUGACACAUUCGCUGAUGACAUUGGAUAUCUCAGGAAACAAGAUGCAACAAUUACCCCUGGAGGCACUUCAGCGAUUGCACUCACUCACGCGACUAGUGGCGCAACGCAACCACGUUACCACCUUGGAUGGCAAUUGGGAGGCCCAGCAUGACACACUUCGUUCCCUGCAUCUGGCGGACAACGACAUCACCGAAGUGUCCCCGAAUGGGGGUUCAUUGGAGCUCAGCGCCCCCAAUGACAACAGCUCGCAGCCCUCGAGCUUGGCUGCCGUGCAGACCAGCCAGGAGGCGGGCAAUUCGCUGUAUCAGCCCUCGCCCAGUUCCGGGGAUCGAUCCGCCCUGGGUCGGCCCUUUGAGCAGCUGCAGAAGCUGCUGUGGCUGGACCUGUCCAACAACAGGAUCUACCACGUGUCGGGGAACUAUCUGCCGCGAUCGCUGGUGACGAUGGACUUGUCCAGCAACCUGCUGACCAUCUUCCCUCAGCAGCUCUUUGAGCAGUUGCCGGGCCUGAGGAUCGUGAGUCUGAGAGAUAAUCUCGUGAAGAGUGUGCAGUGGAAGGAGCUGCAAGUGCGGCCGCUGCGCAUGCACUUGGAGCGCCUGGACCUGGGACAGAACUGCAUCGAGAGCCUCGAGUCGGACUACUUCCAGCAGAACUACUCGGAUGUGCAUUUGAGAGCGCUCAAUCUGGAGCAGAACUUCGUGACUCAGCUGCCGGCGGCAGUGUUCAAGGCCACGGGGAUUGCCCAUCUGGUGCUGGCCUUCAAUGCGAUCAGUCGAGUGCAUCCGGCUGCCUUUGAGGGCCUGACUGAUACCCUGGAAUACCUGGACUUGGAGCGCAACAGACUGACCACCGUGCCCGUGGCCAUAUCCUCGCUGCAUCGCCUCAAGUACCUCUAUCUGACGUCCAACGAGAUCAGUCAGCUGGUCAACCUGCCCUCCUACACCGACAAUCUGCGAGUUCUCAGCCUGAGUGGCAACAACUUCAGCAUGAUACCCAUUCUGGGGCUGAAGAACUACACACAGCUCUCGUAUCUGAACAUGGGCUACAACUCGAUCACGGACAUACCCGAGGGCAUUUUUGCCGUCGAUUCGUGGGGCAGUAAUCUGCAGACGAUACUGCUGCGCAACAACAAGAUCACGCAUCUGCAUCUGGGAUCGUUUGCGGGUCUCGAUCAGAUCCAGGAGAUCAGCUUGAGCUUCAACGACAUCACCAUCCAUCAUCCGCUGGUCUUUGAGAAUGUCUCGAGAUCCUUGAAGAUACUGGAGCUCUCGUUCGCCGUCUUCCCGGCCAGAAGUCUGGAGAGUCUCGAUCCACUGGAGGCUUUGUUGCCGCUGUCGCAGCUCAUUUGGCUGGGACUGGACAACAACAAUCUGAAGAGCAUCUCCAACGAGUCGUUUGCCCAAAUGCGGGAGCUGAGCUACAUAAAUCUGAGCUUCAAUCAGCUGAAGGCCCUGCCCCGCGGUCUCUUCAUGCCCGAUGUCCACAGCCAUCUGGUGGAGAUAGAGCUGUCCUACAAUGGCCUCGAGCACCUGGAGUCGCAGACCUUUCACAAUCUGGGGGAUCUGCAGACGCUGAACCUCCAGUCGAAUCGUCUGAGGACCAUUGCGCGUCACGCCUUCCACAAUCUGGAGUUCCUACGCUACAUAGAUCUGUCCCACAAUCGGCUGGUCAACAUAUCGCACGCGGCCUUCACAGUCCUGCCGAAUCUGGCCGCCCUGGAUCUGAUGCACAAUCAGCUGUGUUCCUUGUCGCUGAAGUCCUUCCACUACGUGUCGAAUGCCACGACUCCGCUGAGGCUCAACAUGAGCCACAACCACAUCUCCAGCUUCGACGAUGAGCUGAGCAGCUACAUGUACAUCUACCAGCUGGACAUCAGCCACAACCACGUGGCCAAGUCGGAUAGUUUCAUGAACCUGGCCAAUACCCUGAGGUUCCUCAAUUUGGCCCACAAUUCGUUGGGCGCUUUGCAGAGCCAUGCGUUUGGUGAUCUGGAAUUCCUGGAGAUCCUCAAUCUCGCCUACAACAACCUCACCUCCUUGAGGCGCCGCAGCUUUCAGGGCCUGAACAGCCUGCAGGAACUGGACCUCAGCCACAAUCAGUUGGACCAGCUGCAGGUGGAACAGUUCUCGAAUCUGAGGAAACUGAGGAUCCUCAAGAUCAGCUCCAACCGCUUGCGAGCUCUGCCCCGCGAGGUGUUCAUGAACACGCGCCUGGAGUUCCUCGACAUAGCCGACAAUCAGUUGAGCGUGUGGCCCGUGCCGGCCUUCACGGACAUUGGCUUCACCCUCAGGUCCAUCCAGAUGUCCCGCAACAAUCUGGAGUACCUGGAUGCCUCGAUGUUCAUCAACUCGCAGUUCCUGUACGACAUCAGCCUGGCCCGGAAUCGCAUCACCAUCCUGCCGGACAACACCUUCAGUUUCCUGAACAAUCUCACCAACCUGGAUCUGUCGCAGAACCCCCUGGUCACGACCAAUCUGCGCGAGGUGUUCGUGCACACGCCGCGCCUUCGAAAGCUGAGUCUCCAUCACAUGGGACUGUAUGUCCUGCCGCCGCUGAAGAUGCCGCUGCUCUCGUACCUGGACGUGAGUGGCAACUACUUGCAGGAGCUGUCGCCGCUGGGCUCGAUGCGGCACCUGCGGCACGUCAAUGUGUCCCACAACAAGCUCAUCAAUGCCAGCUGUGCCGUCGAGCAUCUGCCGCCCUCGGUGAGGGUCCUCGACCUCGCCCACAAUCCCCUGCGACGCAUUACGCUGCACGAUCUGGUGAGCCUGCGGCAUCUGUCCGAGCUGAACAUCCUCGACGUGAAGGUGUCCAAUCCGCAGGCCUUCUCCAAGCUGCGUUCGCUGCGCAAACUCCAUGCCAGCUCCCAUGCGAAUCUGGGCGAAAUUGUGGCCAGAAUACCGGGACUCCAGCAGCUGAGAGUGCACUGCCUGGAGCCGAACAUUGGGGCGCAGUUCUUCGCCAAAUUGGCCAACAACACGAAACUGCGACUCGUCGAGCUGUACGGCAUCAAUGUCCAGACCAUAUCGCCCGAUGUCUUCACGGGCCUCGCCCGCAAUCAGCGGCUGCAAGUGAAGAUAUCCCACACCCGAAUCUCCGACCUGCCGCCGGGGAUUUUCUACACGCUCCGGGAGGUGCCGCAUCUCUCCAUCGACAUAUCACACAAUCGCAUCAAUGCUCUGGCCGCCGAUAGUUUCUAUCCGAACAAGAGCUACUGGGAUGCCGUGGGCACUCGCAGCAUUAUGGGUGGCCUCAUCACCUCGCACAAUCCGCUGGAGUGCGAGUGCGGACUGGUGUGGUUCGGUCACUGGCUGCGACGAUGGCUGCGGGAGUCGGCCCAGAUCAAGGUCAUACAAAAGGAUGACCUGAAGCGCAUGGUUCAGUUACCCCUAUCGAUUGCCGAUAUGCGCCGCGCCCGUGCCAACACCUGCCACGAUCCUACGUCGGGUCGUCAUCUGCCCAUCCUGGAGAUCUUUCCCGAGGAUCUGCUGUGCCAGGCGAGUGCUCUGAGCAGCUCCGGCCAGCGAUUGUUCCUGCUGUCCUUCGCCAUGGCCCUGCUGCUGCCCAUCAUGACGACGAUGACCCUUUGAUGUUGGCUCUAGUUGCCGGCCAAGCGAGACACCCCAGAGAUUAGCCCCCCACCCGCCGCCCCGCCACCAAUAAGGAUUACGGCUGCACCGACGACUGGGUCUCUCCUGCAGCUGUUGACCCUUUUACACAUUUUAGUGUGAAACUUGACUCCGGGCGAAAUAAGUUGCCGCAAAUUAUGGGAGGGCGACGCGGUUGCCUCAGGUGUUGCGCCGCCAUAAAACCCCAUAGAAAGAAAACACGGAACCAGGCAAGGACCAGGGCUUAUACCACGUAUGUCUGUAUAUGUGUAUGUGUACCGAGAGGGAGGCAGCACGCGGCUAUGGAACCCCUGGCCAGGCCCAUAAUUGGAUUAUCGGCGGGCCAAAGUGUUCCAAUGAGUGCAUUCCUUUGGCCACUAGAUCCUGUGUGUUGACUGCUCCCUGACCCACUACGACCAGCUGCCCUUGCAGCCUGCCUCCUGCAAUCCUGCGCGGCAGCUGCAGCAAUCGGCGGAUACCCUUUGUCCCGGAAUUGAUUGGUGGAUUCUUGAGGCGUAAUGGAAGGUAGUUGCUAAGGAUUUUAAUGUACUUUUGCGGGAAUACACCGAAUGCACUUGUCUGUGGCCUUUUUUGCUCGUAUUUUCUUGUACUUUUUGCUAAACCAAAAUCACCAUGGGAAUGCUUGUGGAAAAUCUGCACCAAUUUGUUGGCGGAUGCAUGUUGCGUUGCCCUAAAGCUGUGAAAUAAGUUGUACAAUUUGUUACCUAGUUAAGCUUAAACUUUUAUUGAAUCUAUGUAAUGAAAUUACGUUUUAGCUGAAUAAGUUUUAUCUAUUCACAUAUUCACAUAUUUAAAAGUAAAUAUGAUUAAAAACAGAUUUUAACUUAA